ACAUGAACAACUCAGAGCAACAAAAGGAGUGGCAAGCAAGGCAAAAAGCAUUUAGCUGUUCUGAGUGUGGUCAAAUAUUUGGACAUAAGAGCCACCUGAAUAGACACAUGAUAAUUCAUACAGGGCAAAAAGCAUUUAGCUGUUCUGAGUGUGGUAAAAGAUUUGGACAAAAGAGUGACCUAAACAGACACAUGAUAAUUCAUACAGGGCAAAAAACAUGUGUUUGUUCUGAGUGUGGUCAAAGAUUUGGACAAAAGACCCACCUGAACAGACACAUGAUAAUUCAUACAGGACAAAAAGCAUUCAUCUGUGCUGAGUGUGGUCAAAGAUUUAGACAAAAGACCCACCUGAACAUACACAUGAUAAUUCAUACAGGACAAAAAGAAUUUGUCUGUUCUGAGUGCAGUCGAAGAUUUGGACGAAAGAGCCACCUGAACCGACACAUGAUAAUUCAUACAAAACACACCACCCCAACAAAUUAGGAGUCAUUCACCACCUCAACCACAAAACAAUAUACAGAUGCACCCAGUGGGAAUUAGAAGAGGAAUUGUCGAACAAGUUUGUGGAAAUAAGGAGAAUGGACAUGAAAGAGCAUGAAAACUGAUCAAAUUGAAGGAUAAAAAGUUCAAAGGUAUACUACAGAAAGUUAACCAUGCACCCACUUAGCAAGAUCCUGAAGGAGCAUGACAUUAGGUAUGGUUUAAGUAGAGGAUGGAAAAAUCAAGACAGUGAGCCAUCUGCUGUACAUGGAUGACUUGAAAAUGUUUGUCGACACAAAACAGGGAAUCGGUCAGCUCGUGAAAGCAGUCUAUAAGUUCUCCAAAGACGUUGGUAUGGAAUUUGGACUAGAUAAAUGCUCAAAAUGUGCAAUCAAAAAAGGUAAAAAGAGAAAAGCAGAAAACAUGCAGUUGGAUUGAAGAUUUGGCUGAAGACUAAAUACUUAGGAAUUGAAGAAAUGAUACAAUCGAGCACAAGAAAAUGAGAAAGCAACACAAGAAUACCUAAACCGCUUAAGAAUGCUCUGCAAAUCUCAUUUGACACCAAAGAACAAGAUUACAGCCAUAAACCAGUUUGCAAUACCAGUGGUGACCUAUGGGUUUGGCAUAGUAGACAGGCCACAACAUGAGCUUAAGAAGUUGGACACGAAAACUAGGAAGAUGCUCACCCUCCACAGAUUCAUGUACAGAAAUCCGUGCAUGGGCAGAAUAUAUCUCCCUCACAGAGAAGGCGGUCUGGGUCUCACUGGCCUACAGAGCAUCAAUAAUAAGUAUUGGACAGUACUUAAAGAGCUCUGAAGAAGAAAUCAUGAAAAAGGUCGCACAACAUUAUGAGAAGACCUUAUCCGAACAGACCUCAGUCAUCAAACUGGCAAAAAACUUUGGUAGAAAACUCUUACAAAAGAGAGAAAGCAACAAUCUCACGCCUGCAACAAAACUCACAAGACAGAGCAGAGAACAAUACAGC